GAGAGUGUGGGCGUUCCGGGGAGAGCGCGAGCCGCGCGGCGCGGAGCAAACAGCGCCGAGCCGCCGCCGCCUCAGCAGCAGCAGUAGCAGCGGCCGUGCACGCCCGGGCUGAGGUCGUACAGCGCUAACGUGAGCGGCCGCCGCCCUCGCCGCCCCGCCAGCCCACUCCCGCCGCCGCCCCGCUCUCGCUUUCUCCACAGCCUCCCCUCGUCCCUUCCCCUCCCCCUUCCCGGCGCUCCCGGGGUGCUGGGAACGAGCUGCCAUGUGAUGCGCGUCCCCUCAGCGAGCUUUCGGUGACCCCCGAACCGCCCACCGCGCCGGCUGCCGGGAGGGGGCUGCGGGCCGGGAAGACGCGGGGAAGAGGAGGCGGAAAAGGACGCAAACUUCUCCGGCGAGAGCAGCUGUCUGCUUCAGAAAUUGAGGGCUCCAGGAAUGAGGAGAAUCAUCACGAGCUGCCUCGCAUUGUGGCAUGUCUGAUCCCUUGCUCCUGUCCCUGCAGCAUGAACAAGGUGGACACUCACUGACCUGUCACAAGGUUGACCCACAGAGCUUUGGGGUUCAUGUCUGAAUGGAUUACCGGAGCCUUCUCAUCUCUCCCUUCGCCCAGUUCCCUGCAUCCUAAGACUCGAAGCCAGCACAGGACCUGGAAAAAUUACAUG